GGAGGCGUGGCCGGGGCGGGGGUCAGAAAUCCUGGCAGAACCAGGAACAGACAAAGCCAGCGAAGACCCUGCCCAGUGUCCCACCCUGGUGUCGGCUCCCCAGCCUGGCCUCUGAUGAGCCGGCUCCCCUUGGAUCUGAGCCCACAGCAAGUGCUCGGCGUAGGGUGACCCACGGCUCCGUACCCCCCAGGUCCCGGCUGCUGGAAUGAAAGCCGAGAAACAAGGCCAGACCCACUGCAGCUGCUGAAAACAAACUGACAGAAAGAACGAAAGAACCCGAACCAGCCGCCCUAACAAAUCUACAACGGCCCAGAAAGUCCAAUCAAUUUUGCUGGAGUAAAUUGACCCCUGAGGAGAAGGCGCGAAGUGGCCUGUAUAUUUCGUUAGUGUUUCGCUCCCAGAUG